rnacentral:rRNA from 3 species
CGGCCUUAGCGCGGUGGUCCCACCUGACCCCAUGCCGAACUCAGAAGUGAAACGCCGUAGCGCCGAUGGUAGUGUGGGGUCUCCCCAUGCGAGAGUAGGGAACUGCCAGGCA